AACUUAUCACACAAAUGCUGCCAGCAUGUUAAGAAGUGCUGCCGUUACUGUCUCCUGCCCUUAAAGCCGCCCUUCAACCCAGCCUCCACUGUCACACAGGUGUCUUGCAGAAAGAGAGCGAGAGAGAAAGAGAGAGAACAGGGCAAGCAGAGCCGUCUCACUGGCCAAGUACCUGCCCCAUGAAACCACCCCAUCUCAGUAGAGCAAUGUGCUCUGGGCCCUGGAGCUGAUG
rnacentral:lncRNA from 1 species